AACGAACGCUGGCGGCGUGCUUAACACAUGCAAGUCGCGCGUGAAAGCCCUUCGGGGUGAGUAAAGCGGCGCACGGGUGAGUAAUACAUAGGAACAUGCCUAUAAGUGGGGAAUAACCGCGGGAAACUGCGGCUAAUACCGCAUGUGCUCGCAAGAGUAAAGGUGGCCUCUCCUUGGAAGCUAUCGCUUAUUGAGUGGCCUAUGUCCCAUUAGCUAGUUGGUGAGGUAACUGCUCACCAAGGCGACGAUGGGUAGCUGGUCUUAGAGGACGAUCAGCCACACUGGGACUGAGACACGGCCCAGACUCCUACGGGAGGCAGCAGUGGGGAAUUUUGCACAAUGGGGGAAACCCUGAUGCAGCAACGCCGCGUGAGUGAAGAAGGCCCUCGGGUUGUAAAAGCUCUUUCGGGUCAGGGAACGAAGGGCUUAGUGGCUAAUAUCCACUAGGUUGACGGUACUGAAAUAAGAAGCACCGGCUAAUUCGUGCCAGCAGCCGCGGUAA
rnacentral:rRNA from 1 species